CAGCAUUAAACUUUUCAGUGUGUGUAGUAGCGGUUAUGAAAGCUAAGCUUAGCUGAGUGCCCACCACUGCUCAAUACUAAAAAAAAGAAAUCACCGUCACAUCUUUCAGCAUGGCCAUCUAGUAUGGAUCAUGUCACUGAACAGACAUGAUCGAACCAUUCGAACCCCAAAAGUUCAACUGCAAGACAGCACAAACAGUAUACAUUCCUUA